rnacentral:rRNA from 1 species
AUGGCCACCUCCGCCGCUGCCGCCGCCUCGUCUCCUUCCUCCGACCAACCUCCCGCGAACAAGGCGGUCCACGUGGUGGUCAAGGGCCGGGUCCAGGGCGUGGGCUUCCGCGACUGGACGGCCGAGACGGCGGAGUCCCUCGGCCUCGCCGGCUGGGUCCGCAACAACCGCCGCGACGGCACCGUGGAGGCCCUCCUCUCCGGCGACCCUGCCAAGGUCGACGAGAUGGUCAUCCGCCGCCUCCCCGUCGGCCCUCCUGCCGCCGCCGUCACCGCCGUCGUCACAUCCCCAGCCGACCACAUCCACCCCUCCCUCGGCUUCGAAAUCAAGCUCACCGUCUGA